GCAGUUGCAACGUGUGGCAGUUGCAACAUUGCUGAUUUCUCCAAUCAGGAAUGAGCUAGAGUCAUGACACGCCUACUGCACAUGCUCAGUAGACCCCUCCUUCUUACUGGACAUUAACAGCCACAUGUCAUCAUUCCUUCAGGGAGAACUGAAUUUCAAGGUUCGUCGAUUGGCCUUCCAACUGGCUUUCUUCUAAGUGCUCCUACCCUGAUACCUGGAAUGAGUGCUCCAUGGCUGGCCGGGAGUGGUUUUUCGGGUUCAUGAAACGACACCCCUGUCUGUCUAUACGGUGCCCUCAAGCUACUAGUCUGUCUCGGAACACAAGUUUUAAUCGCCAUAAUGUGUCCAUGUUCUAUGAUAAUCUUGCCAUGGUAAUUGACAGAUAUAAUUUUGAAGGAACAGACAUAUGGAAUAUGGACGAGACUGGGGUCACAACGGUCCAAGAACCAGAAAAUGUUGUUGCCGGGCGCGGCGUCAGACAGGUGGGGGCAGUAGCCUAACCUCCGGAGAAAGAGGAACGCUCGUGACCGUUGCAUGUGCGGGCAAUGCAUUAGGGAACAUGAUUCCACCCAUGUUCAUCUUCCCGCGGGUCCAUUUUAAGGACCAUUUCAUCCGGGAUGGCCCGCCUGGAUGCAUUGGUGCCGCAAACAAGUCGGGAUAGAUGUUGGAAGAGCAUUUUCUUCAGUUUUUGCAACAUUUUCAACACCACACGAGGGCCUCACUGUAUUGCACAGUCAAUGAACUCUGUUUUUGUGUUAUGAAAUCAUUACUGCUUGUAUAUUGUUGUAAACUCUGUUUUUGCCAACAGUUUGAUGGUGUUAUGAAAUCAUUACUGCUUGUAUAUUGUUGUAAAUUUGAAUAUUUUUAAGUCAAUGAACUCUGUUUUUAACUUUAAUAAUUAGUUCAAUGAACUCUGUUCUCAAAUAAACUAAAAAAGAUUUGAAGAAUAA